rnacentral:tRNA from 1 species
GGUUGUGGCUCAGUGGUAGAGCACUCAUUUGGAAUGUGUGAGGCACUGGGUUCGAUCCUCAGCACCA